rnacentral:rRNA from 1 species
AGUGAACGCUGGCGGCAGGCCUAACACAUGCAAGUCGAACGGCAGCACAGGAGAGCUUGCUCUCUGGGUGGCGAGUGGCGGACGGGUGAGGAAUGCGUCGGAAUCUGCCUAUUUGUGGGGGAUAACGUAGGGAAACUUACGCUAAUACCGCAUACGACCUACGGGUGAAAGUGGGGGACCGAAAGGCCUCACGCAGAUAGAUGAGCCGACGCCGGAUUAGCUAGUUGGCGGGGUAAAGGCCCACCAAGGCGACGAUCCGUAGCUGGUCUGAGAGGAUGAUCAGCCAUACUGGAGCUGAGACACGGUCCAGACUCCUACGGGAGGCAGCAGUGGGGAAUAUUGGACAAUGGGCGCAAGCCUGAUCCAGCCAUGCCGCGUGUGUGAAGAAGGCCUUCGGGUUGUAAAGCACUUUUGUCCGGAAAGAAAAGCAUCCGGUUAAUAACCGGGUGUCAUGACGGUACCGGAAGAAUAAGCACCGGCUAACUUCGUGCCAGCCGCCGCUGUAACAC